UUUAUGGGUCUUAACAUCUUGAAUCUAGGUGUCAUUGAUUAGACAUGAUGUUCCAUGGUAUAGAGGAUCCCCACCCAUCUUAUUGGUCCAACUUCAAUCCAAAAUAAGCAUGAUACUUGGGUGAAAAAUGAGUCAAGAGGUUAAAAAAAAUGACAAACAUGCCACCAAUCUCUGUUGUUACAUAAUGGAGGGUUAUGGCAUUCCUGUGAUUUGGUAUAAAUUUGAACAUGUUUUGACCCUAUUAAAAACUCCUAUUGGGAUUAAACUUCACAAGUGAGAUGGGUGCAGAGUUCUCCAUAACAUGGAUCCACCCAUGCCCAUCAUUUCCUGCAACAUAGCAAUCAGUGCACUUUAUAGAGUUCAGUAACUUUCAUGAACAUUAACUUUAACCUUGAAGACCACCAACAUUUAUCCAGCAAAAAUAUUAGAAAG